AUAGCGUAUAUUAAAGUUGUUGCGGUUAAAAAGCUCGUAGUUGGAUCUCAGUUCAAGCCUAUCGGUCCACUUGCCAGUGGCUACUGAUUGGCUGAACACUUUACCGAGUUGUCCUCUGAUGCUCUUCACCGAGUGUCUCUGGCGAUCGGUACGUUUACUUUGAAAAAAUUAGAGUGCUCAAAGCAGGCGUUACGCCCGAAUAAUGUUGCAUGGAAUAAUGGAAUAGGACCUCGGUUCUAUUUUGUUGGUCUUCGGAAUCUGAGGUAAUGAUUAAGAGGGACAGACGGGGGCAUUCGUAUUGCGGCGCUAGAGGUGAAAUUCUUGGACCGUCGCAAGACGAA
rnacentral:rRNA from 1 species